rnacentral:lncRNA from 1 species
GUAUAUAUUUAAUAUAUAGAUUUGCAUUAGAGUUUUUUUUUUGUUAUUCGGGUUGGGUUUAGAAAAAUGCAUUGGUAUUGUAUAAUUUGUUUACUUAGGCUAGGAGCACAUUUUACUAGAGUUCUUCCAUUCAUGUGGUUUUUGCUUUAGAAGGUACAGAGAGACGAGAGACUGACUGACUGACAGACUGACAGACAGAGCGAUUUGUGUUCUAUUAGUUUGUUGUUGUUGGGGGGGGGGGGGGGGGGGAAAAAAAAAAAUUGGGGGGUUUUUUUUUUUUAUAUUUUUUUUUUUUUUUUUUAAAAUUUUUUGUUUUUUGUGGGGGGGGGGGGGGCCCCCGCCC